rnacentral:rRNA from 1 species
GAUGAACGCUGGCGGCGUGCCUAACACAUGCAAGUCGAACGAGGUCCACCUUCGGGUGAAGACCGAGUGGCGAACGGGUGAGUAACACGUGGGGAACCUACCUCACUCUCUGGGAUAACGUCGAGAAAUCGGCGCUAAUACCGGAUACUCCUUGCGGAUCGCAUGGUCUGCUUGGGAAAGCUCCGGCGGAGAGGGACGGCCCCGCGGCCCAUUAGCUAGUUGGUGAGGUAACGGCCCACCAAGGCGACGAUGGGUAGCCGAGCUGAGAGGCUGAUCGGCCACACUGGGACUGAGACACGGCCCAGACUCCUACGGGAGGCAGCAGUGGGGAAUCUUGCGCAAUGGGCGAAAGCCUGACGCAGCAACGCCGCGUGCGGGAUGAAGGCCCUCGGGUCGUAAACCGCUUUCAGCAGGGAUGAAACUGACAGUACCUGCAGAAGAAGCCCCGGCUAAAUACGUGCCAGCAGCCGCGGUAAUACGUAUGGGGCAAGCGUUAUCCGGAUUUAUUGGGCGUAAAGCGCGCGUAGGCGGCUUGUUAAGUCAGAUGUGAAAUCCGGGGGCUCAACCCGCGGCUUGCAUCUGAAACUGGCAGGCUUGAGUCUGGUAGAGGAAAGUGGAAUUCCUGGUGUAGCGGUGAAAUGCGCAGAUAUCAGGAGGAACACCAGUGGCGAAGGCGGCUUUCUGGGCCACGACUGACGCUGAGGCGCGAAAGCUAGGGGAGCGAACAGGAUUAGAUACCCUGGUAGUCCUAGCCGUAAACGAUGGGCACUAGGUGUGGGGGGUCAUCGACUCCCUCCGUGCCGAAGCUAACGCAUUAAGUGCCCCGCCUGGGGAGUACGGCCGCAAGGCUAAAACUCAA